UACGGGGGGGGGCAAGCGUUGUUCGGAAUUACUGGGCGUAAAGGGCGCGUAGGCGGCUCGCUAAGUCGGAUGUGAAAACUCUGGGCUCAACCCAGAGCCUGCAUUCGAAACUGACGAGCUCGAGUUCUGGAGGGGAAAGCGGAAUUCCUGGUGUAGCGGUGGAAAUGACGUAGAUAUCAGGGAGGAACACCGGUGGCGAAGGCGGCUUUCUGGACAGAAACUGACGCUGAUGCGCGAAAGCUAGGGGAGCAAACAGG
rnacentral:rRNA from 1 species